rnacentral:rRNA from 1 species
GUGCACGCUGGCGGUAGGCCUAACCCCUGCAAGUCGAACGGCAGCACAGUAAGAGCUUGCUCUUACGGGUGGCGAGUGGCGGACGGGUGAGGAAUACAUCGGAAUCUACUUUUUCGUGGGGGAUAACGUAGGGAAACUUACGCCAAUACCGCAUACGACCUACGGGUGAAAGCAGGGGAUCUUCGGACCUUGCGCGAUUGAAUGAGCCGAUGUCGGAUUAGCUAGUUGGCGGGGUAAAGGCCCACCAAGGCGACGAUCCGUAGCUGGUCUGAGAGGAUGAUCAGCCACACUGGAACUGAGACACGGUCCAGACUCCUACGGGAGGCAGCAGUGGGGAAUAUUGGACAAUGGGCGCAAGCCUGAUCCAGCCAUACCGCGUGGGUGAAGAAGACCUUCGGGUUGUAAAGCCCUUUUGUUGGGAAAGAAAGGCAGCAGGUUAAUACCCCGCUGUUCUGACGGUACCCAAAGAAUAAGCACCGGCUAACUUCGUG